rnacentral:rRNA from 1 species
GACGAACGCUGGCGGCGUGCCUAAUACAUGCAAGUCGAACGCAGGGGGGACGGGGGAGUAACACGUGGGUAACCUCCCAUCAGAGGGGAUAACACUUGGAAACAGGUGCUAAACCGAUACUGAAGGAAGGACCCGCGGUGCAUUAGCUAGUGGGGGAGGUAACGGCUCACCAAGGCCACGAUGCAUAGCGGACCUGAGAGGGUGAUCGGCAACACUGGGACUGGGAACCGCCCCAGAUUCCUACGGGAGGCAGAAGUAGGGAAUCUUCGGCAAUGAAGGAAAGUUUGACCGAGCAAGGCCGCGUGAGUGAAGAAGGUUUCCGGAUCGUAAACCUCUGUUGUUAGAGAAGCGGUAUCUAACCAGAAAGCCACGGCUAACUACGUGCCAGCAGCCGCGGUAAUAC